rnacentral:rRNA from 1 species
GAUGAACGCUGGCGGCGUGCCUAAUACAUGCAAGUCGAGCGAACGGACGAGGAGCUUGCUCCUUCGACGUUAGCGGCGGACGGGUGAGUAACACGUAGGUAACCUACCUAUAAGACUGGGAUAACUUCGGGAAACCGGAGCUAAUACCGGAUAAUAUUUCGAACCGCAUGGUUCGAUAGUGAAAGAUGGCUUUGCUAUCACUUAUAGAUGGACCUGCGCCGUAUUAGCUAGUUGGUAAGGUAACGGCUUACCAAGGCAACGAUACGUAGCCGACCUGAGAGGGUGAUCGGCCACACUGGAACUGAGACACGGUCCAGACUCCUACGGGAGGCAGCAGUAGGGAAUCUUCCGCAAUGGGCGAAAGCCUGACGGAGCAACGCCGCGUGAGUGAUGAAGGUCUUCGGAUCGUAAAACUCUGUUAUUAGGGAAGAACAAACGUGUAAGUAACUGUGCACGUCUUGACGGUACCUAAUCAGAAAGCCACGGCUAACUACGUG